CCCAGUAGUCAUAUGCUUGUCUCAAAGAUUAAGCCAUGCAUGUCUAAGUAUAAGCAAUCAUACUGUGAAACUGCGAAUGGCUCAUUAAAUCAGUUAUCGUUUAUUUGAUAGUACCUUUACCUGGAUAACCGUGGUAAUUCUAGAGCUAAUACAUGCUAAAAACCCCGACUUCGGAAGGGGUGUAUUUAUUAGAUAAAAAACCAAUGCCCUCUGGGCUCUUUGGUGAUUCAUAAUAACUUAACGAAUCGCAUGGCCUUGCGCCGGCGAUGGUUCAUUCAAAUUUCUGCCCUAUCAACUUUCGAUUGUAAGAUAGAGGCUUACAAUGGUAUUAACGGGUAACGGGGAAUUAGGGUUCUAUUCCGGAGAGGGAGCCUGAGAAACGGCUACCACAUCCAAGGAAGGCAGCAGGCGCGCAAAUUACCCAAUGCUAAUUCAGCGAGGUAGUGACAAUAAAUACUGAUACGGGGCUCUUUCGGGUCUCGUAAUUGGAAUGAGUACAAUCUAAAUCCCUUAACGAGGAACAAUUGGAGGGCAAGUCUGGUGCCAGCAGCCGCGGUAAUUCCAGCUCCAAUAGCGUAUAUUAAAGUUGUUGCCGUUAAAAAGCUCGUAGUUGAACCUUGGACCUGGCUGAUCUGUCCUCCUAAUCGAGCGCACGGAUUCGGUCGGGUCUUUCCUUCUGGGGAGCCCUAUGCCCUUCACUGGGUGUAGUGGGGAACCAGGACUUUUACCUUGAAAAAAUUAGAGUGUUCAAAGCAGGCCUUUGCUCGAAUACACUAGCAUGGAAUAAUAGAAUAGGACAUCGGCUCUAUUUUGUUGGUUUCUAGGACCGCUGUAAUGAUUAAUAGGGAUAGUCGGGGGCGUCAGUAUUCAAUUGUCAGAGGUGAAAUUCUUGGAUUUAUUGAAGACUAACUACUGCGAAAGCAUUCGCCAAGGAUGUUUUCAUUAAUCAGUGAACGAAAGUUAGGGGAUCGAAGACGAUCAGAUACCGUCGUAGUCUUAACCAUAAACUAUGCCGACUAGGGAUCGGACGGUGGUUUUUUUAUGCCCCGUUCGGCACCUUACGAGAAAUCAAAGUUUUUGGGCUCGGGGGGGAGUAUGGUCGCAAGGCUGAAACUUAAAGAAAUUGACGGAAGGGCACCACCAGGCGUGGAGCCUGCGGCUUAAUUUGACCCAACACGGGGAAACUCACCAGGUCCAGACAUGCUUAGGAUUGACAGAUUGAUAGCUCUUUCUUGAUUGUAUGGGUGGUGGUGCAUGGCCGUUCUUAGUUGGUGGAGUGAUUUGUCUGCUUAAUUGCGAUAACGAACGAGACCUUGACCUGCUAAAUAGCCAGGUUGACUUUUGUCGGCCGCCGGCUUCUUAGAGGGACUUUUGGCUCAAGCCAAUGGAAGUACGAGGCAAUAACAGGUCUGUCAA
rnacentral:rRNA from 1 species